rnacentral:rRNA from 1 species
UGGCGGACGGGUGAGUAACGCGUGGGUAACCUGCCUUACACAGGGGGAUAACACCUGGAAACAGGUGCUAAUACCGCGUAAGCGCACAGUAUCGCAUGAUACAGUGUGAAAAACUCCGGUGGUACAGGAUGGACCCGCGUCUGAUUAGCUGGUUGGCGGGGUAACGGCCCACCAAGGCGACGAUCAGUAGCCGGCCUGAGAGGGUGAACGGCCACAUUGGGACUGAGACACGGCCCAAACUCCUACGGGAGGCAGCAG